rnacentral:rRNA from 1 species
UACAGAGGUCUCAAGCGUUGUUCGGAUUCAUUGGGCGUAAAGGGUGCGUAGGUGGCAUGGUAAGUCGGAUGUGAAAUCCCGGGGCUCAACCCCGGAACUGCAUUCGAUACUGCUGCGCUAGAGUACUGGAGAGGAGAUUGGAAUUCCUAGUGUAGAGGUGAAAUUCGUAGAUAUUAGGAAGAACACCAGUGGCGAAGGCGGCUCACUGGCCCGGUACUGACGCUGAGGCGCGAAAGCGUGGGGAGCAAACAGG